UGAGGGAUAUUGGGCAAUGGGCGCAAGCCUGACCCAGCGACGCCGCGUGGAGGACGACGGGCUUCGGCUCGUAAACUCCUUUUCCCGGGGACGAGACAAGGACGGUACCCGGGGAAUAAGUCUCGGCUAACUACGUGCCAGCAGCCGCGGUAAUACGGAGGGUGCGAGCGUUAUCCGGAUUUACUGGGUUUAAAGGGUGCGUAGGUGGGCUUAUAAGUCAGUGGUGAAAUCUCCGAGCUUAACUUGGAAACUGCCGUUGAUACUAUAGGUCUUGAAUUAUCUGGAGGUAAGCGGAAUAUGUCAUGUAGCGGUGAAAUGCUUAGAUAUGACAUAGAACACCAAUUGCGAAGGCAGCUUACUACAUAUAAAUUGACGCUGAGGCACGAAAGCGUGGGGAUCAAACA
rnacentral:rRNA from 1 species